AUUGAACGCUGGCGGAAUGCUUUACACAUGCAAGUCGAACGGCAGCACGGGGGCAACCCUGGUGGCGAGUGGCGAACGGGUGAGUAAUACAUCGGAACGUGCCCAGUCGUGGGGGAUAACGUAGCGAAAGUUACGCUAAUACCGCAUACGAUCUACGGACGAAAGCGGGGGACUGUAAGGCCUCGCGCGAUUGGAGCGGCCGAUGUCCGAUUAGGUAGUUGGUGAGGUAAAGGCUCACCAAGCCGACGAUCUGUAGCUGGUCUGAGAGGACGACCAGCCACACUGGGACUGAGACACGGCCCAGACUCCUACGGGAGGCAGCAGUGGGGAAUUUUGGACAAUGGGCGCAAGCCUGAUCCAGCCAUUCCGCGUGCAGGACGAAGGCCUUCGGGUUGUAAACUGCUUUUGUACGGAACGAAAAGGCUCUGGUUAAUACCUGGGGCUCAUGACGGUACCGUAAGAAUAAGCACCGGCUAACUACGUGCCAGCCGCCGCCGUAA
rnacentral:rRNA from 1 species